CGAGCACGCGCGUGUGGCAUAUCAAUAAGCGGAGGAAAAGAAACUAACAAGGAUUCCCUUAGUAACGGCGAGUGAAGCGGGAAGAGCUCAAAUUUGAAAUCUUCAAGGUUCUACCUUGACGAAUUGUAGUUUAUAGAAGUGUUUUCUGUUAGUGGAGUGGCAAAAGUUCUUUGGAAUAGGACAUCAUAGAGGGUGAGAAUCCCGUAUUUGGUCAUUCCUCCUAGCGUUGUGAUACACUUUCAACGAGUCGGAUUGUUUGGGAAUGCAGUCCAAAAUGGGUGGUAAAUUUCAUCUAAAGCUAAAUAUUGGCGAGAGACCGAUAGCGAACAAGUACCGUGAGGGAAAGAUGAAAAGAACUUUGAAAAGAGAGUUAAACAGUACGUGAAAUUGUCAAAAGGGAAGCGCUUGACACCAGUGUUGUUUUUCCGAAAAUCAAUUACGAAUGUUUUGUUUUUGAGGAGUUAUGACUUCAUCGGCUUGCUCCUUUCUUUACGAAACUUUCUUAAUGCACUUUUCGGUUAACAAGUCAACAUCAAUUUCUUUUGUUGUAAAAGGUUAUGAGGAAGGUGGCUUUACUUUCGGAGUAAAGUGUUUAUAGCCUUGUGACUCUACAAUCGGAGAGAUUGAGGUCUGCAGCGUAGAUCCUUCGGGGUUAGAUACAUUUGUGCUAAGUUAUAGCUUUUCAUAGACAACUUGUUGACUAUGUUAGUCUUGUAGAUUACUCGCAUAUGCUAUUUUACCUACGCUUAGGAUGUUGAGCGCAUGUCUCUCUCU
rnacentral:rRNA from 1 species